AAUCAACGCUGGCGGCGUGCCUAACACAUGCAAGUCGAACGAGAAAGUGGGGGCAACUCCAUGAGUAAAGUGGCAGACGGGUGAGUAACACGUGAACAACCUACCCUCGAGUGGGGAAUAACACCGCGAAAGCGGUGCUAAUACCGCAUAAUAUCUUUGAGUCGCAUGACCUGAAGAUCAAAAGCGCAAGUUGCUUGAGGAGGGGUUCGCGCCUGAUUAGCUAGUUGGUGAGGUAACGGCCCACCAAGGCGACGAUCAGUAGCCGGCCUGGGAGGGCGAACGGCCACACUGGAACUGAGACACGGUCCAGACUCCUACGGGAGGCAGCAGUGGGGAAUUUUGCGCAAUGGGCGAAAGCCUGACGCAGCAACGCCGCGUGGAGGAUGAAGGCCUUCGGGUCGUAAACUCCUGUCAGUGGGGACGAAUGCCUCGCAAGAGGUUUGACUGUACCCGCUGAGGAAGCCACGGCUAACUCCGUGCCAGC
rnacentral:rRNA from 1 species